ACUGGUGUGUACCGAGCGCUUCUUUUUGGUUGUCAUUUGCAGGAGUUUGUGAAAAGAGCUGCUGCCUCACGCGAAAAUGGCGCCACUCGUUCAUUUCUCUACAACGUGCUAAGGGAUGGCGCCAAAGACUUAAGAACUGUUUUCAGAACCAUCCUGCAUUAACUAAAGUGGCUCUGCAAGUAUUAGUACCUUUGAAGAAUAUCUACUAGACCGAGUACUGCUACGGAGUAAGUUUCAUAUACUAAAAAGGUUACAGGACGAAGACAUCUGGGGCUGUAGAGGAACGCUUCAUUCUACUCAAAAAGUCACCCAGGCCAAAAUGCAUUCAUAAAUUUAUCUUCUAGACCUGUGUGCCUUUACAUUUGUUGUGAUCUGGAACAAUGGUAGUGUUAUUCAGGUCAGAUUUUGGUCUGAUGGUCAGGGCAUGAGGAGGCUGAGACCCUUCAGAUGAGUAGGAAGCCGUCAUGAUCUAACAAAGCAGAAACAAAUGAAUGCAUGAUAGAACAUCAAAUAAAACAUGUUUUAUUUUGUUGAAACUAAAAGAGAAAUUAGUCAAAAAGGAACAACAAUGCUGCAGUAUAAGCAGGUAAUAUGUAUAAUUAAAGUAUUCGUAUGUGUAUUCAUUUGUUCAU